rnacentral:rRNA from 1 species
UACGGAGGGUGCAAGCGUUAAUCGGAAUUACUGGGCGUAAAGCGCACGCAGGUGGCUGAGUCAGUCGAUUGUGAAAGCCCUGGGCUUAACCUGGGAAUUGCAGUCGAUACUACUCAGCUAGAGUAUGGGAGAGGGUAGUGGAAUUCCCGGUGUAGCGGUGAAAUGCGUAGAUAUCUGGAGGAACACCGGUGGCGAAGGCGGCGUCCUGGACCAACACUGACACUGAUGAGCGAAAGCCAGGGGAGCAAACGGG